AUUGAACGCUGGCGGCAUGCCUUACACAUGCAAGUCGAACGGUAACGGGCCUUGGGGUGCCGACGAGUGGCGAACGGGUGCGUAAUACAUCGGAACGUACCGGAUCGUGGGGGAUAAUGGGGCGAAAGCUUUGCUAAUAUCCCCUACGAUCUCCUGAUGACAGCAGGGGACAGCAAGGCAUUUCCGGGACUUGCCGGACGAUGGCAGAUUAGGUAGUUGGUGGGAUAAAAGCUUACCAAGCCGACGAUAUGUAGCUGGUCUGAGAGGAUGAUCAGCCACACUGGGACUGAGACACGGCCCAGACUCCUACGGGAGGCAGCAGUGGGGAAUUUUGGACAAUGGGCGCAAGCCUGAUCCAGCCAUGCCGCGUGCAGGAUGAAGGCCUUCGGGUUGUAAACUGCUUUUGUACGGAAAGAAAAGCCUUAUUUUAAUACAGGAGGGUCAUGACGGUACCGAAAGAAUAAGCACCGGCUAACUACGUG
rnacentral:rRNA from 1 species